rnacentral:rRNA from 1 species
CACGUAGGCGGGGGCGUAAGUCAGGAGUGAAAUCCCUCGGCUCAACCGAGGAACUGCUUUUGAUACUGCGCCUCUUGAGUUCGGGAGGGGAGAGUGGAAUUCCUGGUGGAGCGGUGAAAUGCGUAGAUAUCAGGAGGAACGCCGGUGGCGAAAGCGACUCUCUGGUCCGAUACUGACGCUGAGGUGCGAAAGCCAGGGGAGCGAACAGGAUUAGAUACCCUGGUAGUCC